rnacentral:rRNA from 1 species
GAGUGAACCGCGUAGCGAUAGGCUUAACACAUGCAAGUCGAGGGGUAACAGUGGAAGUAGCUUAGCUACUUCUGAUGACGACCGGCGGAUGGGUGAGUAACGCGUAUGCAACUUGCCUCUUAGUGGGGAAUAACCCGGAGAAAUCCGGACUAAUACCGCAUACACUUAGUUAUCCGCAUGGAUGAUUAAGGAAAGAUUUAUUGCUAAGAGAUAGGCAUGCGUUCCAUUAGUUAGUUGGUGAGGUAACGGCUCACCAAGGCAACGAUCGGUAGCCGGACUGAGAGGUUGAACGGCCACAUUGGGACUGAGACACGGCCCAG